rnacentral:rRNA from 1 species
GUGGGGAAUAUUGGACAAUGGGCGAAAGCCUGAUCCAGCCAUGCCGCGUGUGUGAAGAAGGUCUUCGGAUUGUAAAGCACUUUAAGUUGGGAGGAAGGGCAGUAAGUUAAUACCUUGCUGUUUUGACGUUACCGACAGAAUAAGCACCGGCUAACUUCGUGCCAGCAGCCGCGGUAAUACGAAGGGUGCAAGCGUUAAUCGGAAUUACUGGGCGUAAAGCGCGCGUAGGUGGUUUUGUAAGUUGGAGGUGAAAUCCCCGGGCUCAACCUGGGAACUGCCUCCAAAACUGCAUGGAUAGAGUACGGUAGAGGGUAGUGGAAUUUCCGGUGUAGCGGUGAAAUGCGUAGAUAUAGGAAGGAACACCAGUGGCGAAGGCGACUACCUGGACUGAUACUGACACUGAGGUGCGAAAGCGUGGGGAGCAAACAGGAUUAGAUACCCCAGUAGUCC